UAUUUCCUCUCCCCACUGCGUAACCACAGUGACAUGUUCUAUGGGGGCAGGAUAUGGUUGAAGGAGGAGAGAGCCACUUGUAAUGGUAUAAGAGUAGGUACAUGUCUCUAUGAUUCUUAAAUCUACUCACUCAACAAUUGCCAACUGAAGGAUUUAUUCUGAAGAUGUAUCUCAGAUUGAUGUUAACAGUUCUUCUCUGUUUCACUUCGUGGGUGAACUUUGUCCAAACAUCUGCUGCAUGUGCAAAUAACUGCUGCUGUGUUAGUUGGUCCAAGACUCAAGUUAAAUGGACUCAAAUUAAGAACUACGCUUAUCAGAGGGCAGGCCGGUGUUCCAUCAAUGCAAUUGUGUUUGAGACAAACCAUGAACAGAUAAUUUGCAGCAAUCCCAACAACAAAUGGGCAAAGCAUGUCAUUGGGAAAAUGAAGACGAAGAAGCAAUAUCAUCAGGAAGCAGUGACCAUGGGGAACAAACCAUUGGCAUCAACAACAGCAGGGAAGAAAUGUUCCAACACAAACACAACAAAUAAAAUAUGAAGCAAGGCCAGAAAAGUUAUCCAAGAGCAAAAAGAAUGUUAUUAAAGUCACAAUUAUAAGCCAAACAUGUUGGUAUUACAUUCAGAAAUCCAGUAUAAGAAUGUAUUCCUUUUUUUUUUCUUUUUUUUUUUACCAUUUUCAAAUUACCUUGCCAGAAUAAUUAGAUGAUUGGUUGUGACACUUCCAAUCCAGAGACUCAUACAAGCAAAUGUUUGAUGUUCAAAAACACUAAAAACUAAACCACUUAAAAUCAAAUAAUAAAACAAAAAAAAUGUAUGACCUAAUAAAGCUUCUUAUUUAGAUAUCUGACUGGUUAAGUGACUUCCAGAGUGUCCUAGUGACCAACAGUGUUGAAAAAUAUAUGAAUAAAGCUUGGUUGUGUUUAAAGGUUAUUGAUGUAUUGUCUGAAUGAAUCUGUUUAUAAAAUGUAUUA